AUUGAACGCUGGCGGCAUGCCUUACACAUGCAAGUCGAACGGCAGCACGGGGGCAACCCUGGUGGCGAGUGGCGAACGGGUGAGUAACACAUCGGAACGUGUCCUGUUGUGGGGGAUAACCCACCGAAAGGUGAGCUAAUACCGCAUAACCUCGGAAGAGAAAAGCAGGGGACUCGAAAGGGCCUUGCGCGAUUGGAGCGGCCGAUGUCCGAAUAGCUAGUUGGUGGGGUAAAGGCCUACCAAGGCGACGAUCGGUAGCUGGUCUGAGAGGAUGAUCAGACACGCAGGGACUGAGACACGGCCCAGACUCCUAAGGGAGUGAGCAGUGGAGAAUGUGGGACAAUGGGGGCAACCCUGAGCCAGCCAUGCCGCGUGAGUGGAGAAGGCCUUCGAGUGGUAAAGCUCUUUCGGUGGGAACGAAACGAUCACGGAUAAUACCCGUGACUACUGACGGUACUCACAGAAGAAGCACCGGCUAACUACGUGCCAGCAGCCGCGUAACAC
rnacentral:rRNA from 1 species